GUAAACCUCUUUCAGCAGGGAAGAAGCGCAAGUGACGGUACCUGCAGAAGAAGCGCCGGCUAACUACGUGCCAGCAGCCGCGGUAAUACGUAGGGCGCAAGCGUUGUCCGGAAUUAUUGGGCGUAAAGAGCUCGUAGGCGGUUUGUCGCGUCUGGUGUGAAAACUCGAGGCUCAACCUCGAGCUUGCAUCGGGUACGGGCAGACUAGAGUGCGGUAGGGGAGACUGGAAUUCCUGGUGUAGCGGUGGAAUGCGCAGAUAUCAGGAGGAACACCGAUGGCGAAGGCAGGUCUCUGGGCCGCAACUGACGCUGAGGAGCGAAAGCAUGGGGAGCGAACAGGAUUAGAUACCCUGGUAGUCCAUGCCGUAAACGUUGGGCACUAGGUGUGGGGCUCAUUCCACGAGUUCCGUGCCGCAGCAAACGCAUUAAGUGCCCCGCCUGGGGAGUACGGCCGCAAGGCUAAAACUCAAAGGAAUUGACGGGGGCCCGCACAAGCGGCGGAGCAUGCGGAUUAAUUCGAUGCAACGCGAAGAACCUUACCAAGGCUUGACAUGCACGAGAAGCCACCAGAGAUGGUGGUCUCUUUGGACACUCGUGCACAGGUGGUGCAUGGUUGUCGUCAGCUCGUGUCGUGAGAUGUUGGGUUAAGUCCCGCAACGAGCGCAACCCUCGUCCCAUGUUGCCAGCGGGUUAUGCCGGGGACUCAUGGGAGACUGCCGGGGUCAACUCGGAGGAAGGUGGGGAUGACGUCAAAUCAUCAUGCCCCUUAUGUCUUGGGCUUCACGCAUGCUACAAUGGCCGGUACAAAGGGCUGCGAUACCGUAAGGUGGAGCGAAUCCCAAAAAGCCGGUCUCAGUUCGGAUUGGGGUCUGCAACUCGACCCCAUGAAGUCGGAGUCGCUAGUAAUCGCAGAUCAGCAACGCUGCGGUGAAUACGUUCCCGGGCCUUGUACACACCGCCCGUCAAGUCACGAAAGUCGGUAACACCCGAAGCCCAUGGCCCAACCGUUCGCGGGGGGAGUGUCGAAGGUGACUGUCAAGGG
rnacentral:rRNA from 1 species